AAUAUAAAAGAAAUAUUAAAGAACUAUUAAAAAUAAAAAUCCUAAAUGAAUCCUAAUAAAAUCUUUAUGUAAUUCAAAAAAAUUCUAAUGAAAUCUUAAUAAAAUCUUAGUAAAAUCCUAAAAAAAUCCUAAAUCCUAAAUCAAACCUAAAUGGAAUCCUAAUCAAAUUUUAAACCUUAAAUAAAUUCUUAAUUAAUCUUAUAAUAAAUUAAAACCUCAAUAAUUA
rnacentral:lncRNA from 1 species